AAAUCCUUGCGUCUCACAGU
rnacentral:miRNA from 1 species